rnacentral:piRNA from 1 species
AUCUGAUUCUCAGUCUGUGUGCAAGC